UAGUUUGUUUUUUUUCCUGAUCAAUGUGGACGUUAUAAUUGAUGGUAACAUUUACUGAUCAUAUAAUCAGCAUGACAAUAUAACAGUAUAACAUUCUGACCACCUGACUAAUACUGUGUUGGUCCCUUUAUGCUGCUAAAACUCCUCUGAUCCAGUGGUUCAUCAGAACCUCUGGGGAUGUCCUGUGGAUUCUGUGGAUCCUGUGGGUUGCAGGGUGGGUCCUACCUAGACCAGGCUGAUCCUGGACCAUCCCACAGAUGCUCCAUCAGAUCUGGAUGUGGGGAGUGUGGAACCCAGAUGUUCAGAGGGAGAUGAUGCCACAUCUGGUCCAGCUGAUGGAAGGUCUUGAAG
ensembl:lncRNA